rnacentral:rRNA from 1 species
GAUGAACGCUAGCGGCAGGCCUAACACAUGCAAGUCGAGGGGCAGCACAGAAACAGCAAUGUUUUGGUGGCGACCGGCGGACGGGUGCGUAACGCGUAUGCAACCUACCUUUAACAGGGGGAUAACGGAGAGAAAUUUCCACUAAUACCCCAUAACAUCGAUCAAGGCAUCUUGAUUGGUUGAAAACUCCGGUGGUUAAAGAUGGGCAUGCGUUGUAUUAGGUAGUUGGUGAGGUAAUGGCUCACCAAGCCUACGAUGCAUAGGGGGACUGAGUGGUUAGCCCCCCACACUGGUACUGAGACACGGACCAGACUCCUACGGGAGGCAGCAGUGAGGAAUAUUGGUCAAUGGGGGCAACCCUGAACCAGCCAUGCCGCGUGCAGGAAGACGGCUCUAUGAGUUGUAAACUGCUUUUAAACAGGGAUAAAGCACAGUAUGUAUACUGUGUUGAAGGUACUGUAAGAAUAAGGAUCGGCUAACUCCGUGCCAGCCGCCGCAGUAA